rnacentral:rRNA from 1 species
ACGGAGGAUCCAAGCGUUAUCCGGAUUUAUUGGGUUUAAAGGGUGCGUAGGCGGGCUGUUAAGUCAGUGGUGAAAGGUUGACGCCCAACGUUAACAUUGCCAUUGAAACUGGCGGUCUUGAGUGCAAAUGAGGCAGGCGGAAUGUGUUGUGUAGCGGUGAAAUGCAUAGAUAUGACACAGAACACCAAUUGCGAAGGCAGCUUGCUGGAAUGUAACUGACGCUGAGGCACGAAAGCGUGGGGAUCAAACAG